rnacentral:rRNA from 1 species
AUUGAACGCUGGCGGCAGGCUUAACACAUGCAAGUCGAGCGGGGUGAUGUAGCUUGCUACAUUACCUAGCGGCGGACGGGUGAGUAAUGCUUAGGAAUCUGCCUAUUAGUGGGGGACAACAUUCCGAAAGGAAUGCUAAUACCGCAUACGCCCUACGGGGGAAAGCAGGGGAUCUUCGGACCUUGCGCUAAUAGAUGAGCCUAAGUCAGAUUAGCUAGUUGGUGGGGUAAAGGCCUACCAAGGCGACGAUCUGUAGCGGGUCUGAGAGGAUGAUCCGCCACACAGGGACUGAGACACGGCCCAGACUCCUACGGGAGGCAGCAGUGGGGAAUAUUGGACAAUGGGCGAAAGCCUGAUCCAGCCAUGCCGCGUGUGUGAAGAAGGCCUUUUGGUUGUAAAGCACUUUAAGCGAGGAGGAGGCUACCGAGAUUAAUACUCUUGGAUAGUGGACGUUACUCGCAGAAUAAGCACCGGCUAACUCUGUGCCUGCCGCCGCCGUAACAC